CCUACGGGGGGCAGCAGUGAGGAAUAUUGGUCAAUGGGCGAGAGCCUGAACCAGCCAAGUCGCGUGAGGGAGUACUGCCCUAUGGGUUGUAAACCUCUUUUGUCGGGGAGCAAAAGCCGGACGUGUCCGGCUGUGAGAGUACCCGAAGAAAAAGCAUCGGCUAACUCCGUGCCAGCAGCCGCGGUAAUACGGAGGAUGCGAGCGUUAUCCGGAUUUAUUGGGUUAAAGGGGUGCGCAGGCGGAUUUUUAAGUCAGCGGUAAAAUCGUGGGGCUCAACCCCAUCCAGCCGUUGAAACUGGGGAUCUAGAGUGUGCGAGAGGUAUGUGGAAUGCGUGGUGUAGCGGUGAAAUGCAUAGAUAUCACGCAGAACCCCGAUUGCGAAGGCAGCAUACCGGUGCACAACUGACGCUCAGGCACGAAAGCGUGGGUAUCGAACAGGAUUAGAUACCCUUGUAGUC
rnacentral:rRNA from 1 species